CCCCCGCCCCCCGGAUCUCCUGCCGACGCCGCUCCCCGUGCCGUCGCUCUCCUCCCGGCGCCGCUCCCCUCCACCGCCCAGCUCCCGUCCUGGCGCCGCACCCUCCCCGCGCCGUUGCUCUCCUCCCGGCGGCGCUCGCCGCCUCCGACGGCGCUCCCCCCACCACGGCCACAUUUUUUUUGGCUAGUCCGUAGUCCCUCCCAGCGCCGCACCAACCUCCCGCGCCGUCGGUCUCCUCCCGGCGCCGCUCGCCUCCCCCGCCGGGGAUGGGGGAGCGCACUUCCUCGGUGACAACGGCGCCGCCGAGGUCGCGCGGCCUACGACAAGGAGGUCGACCGCUGUGUCGUGGGCAAGAUGCAGCACAAGCGAGCGAGCGAGCGGGCGCCUAGAUUAGCUUCGCCCUUCGUCUUCCUCCACUCCUCCAUUUCCUCGCCCCCCCCCCCCCCCCCCGACGGAAUCUAGAUUUUCUUCUCUCGGGGUUGAAUCGCCCGGCUCUGCGAGGCCGUCCGAUUUCGCUCGGUGGAUUGGGUCCUUCGUACUUCCCCGAUCUGUGUCGGGUUCGUUUCGCUGAGCUUGUUCUCAUGGGAAUGAAUUUUGUGCUGCUUCUGUAGGUGCGAGCAUUACCGGCUCUCUGUCCCCCCCCCCCCCCCCCCCCCCCCCCCCCGCGGAGACCACUGCUGUGCUUCUAUGGCGUUCAUGUAGAGCAGUAUAGCAGGAAACUUAUCUGCACAGGCGCCUUGGUUGUUCAAAUCGAGUAGCUGGUGCACUCCUGUCAUCUGCUUAUACGUGAGCCCAGCGGAACAUAAAGUUUCAGACUAACGACCAAUCCGCAAGCAUCAGGUUAGCCACUUGCUGCAUUUGAUCAUAAAGUUUCAGAUAUUUAUGUGAUGCGUGAGUAGCUAUGAGAUUCAGAAUGUUCAUAUGAUAGGUAGCACUAUCCUUCUUGACAGUCUAAGGAAUUAUCUUUGUUUCUUUAAGCACUCCUUCUUGACAUGGAUGCAUAGAGUUUCUAACUUGCUAUCAGGUCUGCAGCUUCAGCUUCGUGAAUUAAACCUAGGAUCAGUCUCCUUAAUUCUAUUUGUGUUGAAUUGUUUUGAUGUGUGUUUAAAUUCUUCUUGCAGUAUAAGUCAGCUGCUUCAUGGUCAAAACUUUGCAAUUUCAGAAUACUACAACAGGCUGUAGCAACUAUGUACCUUGCCUGAAGCGCACCUGGUGAUUUACAUAGAACAAUAUUACAUAAUGGUAUGCAACGAUGUGCCCUGCUUGAAGUGCGCAUAUACAUCAGAGAUAUGUGAAACUGUAGAAUCUUGACAGGUAGUUGCCAUCUCCAAUCUAGUGUACAUGCAUGAAGAAUUUCAUUGCUCAGGGAUGCCAAUUUAAUUUAUCGGGUUUCAACUUUAAGCACAGAUAUUGGCAAACAUCUUGUUUGAGAACAUUUUCUGAAAUUUUGUAGUGACUGCAUGCCCCACCUUAACCAAGGCGUGCGAAUGCACUUCAUUUCUGUUUGGUUUGUGUCAUGAUCUGAUCUGGAAGCAUCUGAUCUGAUAAAAUGGCCCUUCAAAUCAAACAGGGUGUAAAUGUGGCACAAGUCAUGAUUCGUUUGUUUCCAUUUUCAGAUGUCAUGAUAGGUCUUCACCUUCAUCUGCCUCAAACAUUGAGGGUGGUAGUAACAAGAUGAUGCACAACAAUUUGCAGUGAUGCAGGAUCUAGCUCCCAGCAGAGGAAAAAGUGUGGCGACCCCUCGUUUCAGGUGGCAGUGACUAAGACUAGGUCACAACUCACAAAGGAAACUGCAAGAGUGAAUACACAAGCUUAGGUUCCAGUGAGCUCAGCAUGAUAUAUCCAAGACCACGGUGAUAAACACUGUAUCAUUUAAGUCUACACAUUCAACAUGUUGUUUUCAUGAAAAUGACUUUAGUCUACAAAUGCCAAUGUGUAUGUGGUCAGAAGCUAGCUGAAAAAACAGCUACAAGGGACAAGAUGGGUCUUAAGGCAGACAUAAAAAGUUAAAUUUAUUGUUCAAUUUGUAUUCCUUGACUCACCUAGAUGCUCAUUUGAUAACAAGUCUAUUUGCAAAA